GGAUUCUACACAAAAACAAGAGGAACCAUACUUAAUUCCUAUUCUGCUUGGAAAAACAAGGUGGCUCAGAGCAUUACCAGAGAUUAACAUUUCCUUCUGAUUAGCGAUCACCUCUAAGUAUCUAGGGAAGCCCAAGAGAAGACUGCUGCAAAACAACAUUGGCCUGGCUUCUCAGAGCACUAGAGAUAUGGAGAGACUUUGCACUGGCAGAAGAAGAUUUGGAUCAUUCUGCCAGUGUGGAUGCAAAAGGAAGAUACACACAUGGCAGCUGUUAAAAUUGUUUCAGCAUUGUCAGGACACCAUGUGGUCACAAUAUCAUUUGAAUUCCCUUCCCACAUAAGGAGAUACUGCAUUUGGCAUGAAUACUUCCCACACAAUCUGGUACAUCCAUGAGUGAAGGAGAUACAAAUGUUCUCUUCUGUCAGCACCCAUGUGAAACCCUAGUGAGGGGAAAGUUAUUUGCGGAACAGCCACAAUGCUG
rnacentral:lncRNA from 1 species